GACGCGUACGGAAGCAACUUCAUUAUUUUCGAUAUUCGCGAGCGAAGCCAAGGGUUAAAGCUAGUAAAGAAUAAAAAUAUUUAACUUGUCAAAGUUUAAAACAUCAAAUAAACAAAUGUCACGCAUAUCUUGUCAUUGUUAUUGUAAGAUAUUCUCAACUUCUCUCACUUAUCGUUCGUAUCACGCCGAGAACACAACUAGAAUCAAAAGUAAACAAAAUGGCGGCUUACCAUGAACACGUUGACCAUAACAUAAAGGCAAUUACCCAACCGCCGUUUGUGUACCCUUCAAGGGCCCCACAACGCAUGACCACGGUUUUAUCAACACAAAUACCAUCAACAACUGAAAUUUCAACCACAACUCAACCAAUUGAAAUAUUGCAAGCCGUCGCAUCGUCAAAUGAGACAUUCUUCAAUGAAAACUUUACUAAUUUCGAUGAAUACAACACUACAGUCGGUGUAAUCGAACCAGAAGAAUCUAAAGUAACUAAUGUUACAAGAGUAUUCGAUUGGAUGAAGCCUCCAGGUGCAAAUUUAGACAAUAAUAUACUACGAAUGUCUCAUCAGGAUAAAAAUCUGUUGCCUGAUGAUAGAUACCGCGCAGAUUACACAUUAUACAUCAUCCUUGGCUCGAUUCUUGCUGUAUUGAUUAUUCUCACCAUUGUUACAAUUAUGCUAUAUAAAGCAUACAAGUCAAAGGAUCAGUACAGUUUAACUUCAAGAGGAAAUCGCGUGCGGGUUUUCGGAUUUCCUCAUGAAGAAGCCACCACUUCACGCGGAGACGACCAUGAAGUCGUUGAUUUUGAUAAGGAUAGUUAUAGAUUUUAGUUAUACAUUGAUCUAAUCAAUCUUUCUGUUAAUAAUAAACCAUUUUUUGCAUAAA